UUUAACAGGGAGCCUGCCCAGCAUCCCCUGCCUGCCCCUAAAAAUGGGCAUUUUCUGAGCAAAGGCUGUGGGAAGCUCAGUAAUUCAAGUGCCACUAUCUCCUUACAGACAGCAUGGAAGAAGUGACACCAGUUAUUUGCCAGAUUGAGCCAUUUCAAAGAUCUCUGCCCCAGGCAAGAGGGGAGACACAAAAGUAGAAUUCAGUAAACAGGCUUAAAGCCUCAUCAUUAAAACACUUAGUGAACCAUCUCUGCAGUUUGCUGAACUUUUCCCUGUUUAUAAAAACAAAUGAGUUUCCACAUUCCCAUCUCUGCUCAACACAAGAAGCCUGGAAGCCCCCAAACAAGAUGAUUUUCUCAGAACACAUUCUGCCCCAGGUGGAAUAAAACAAGGAGUAAAUUCCUCUACAAAAGCACAUCUCACUGAACAAAAUCUUCAAUGCAGUUUUGCAAACACAAGGGGCUCAAGUAAUACAUUUGCAUUUUGUGUCUCCCUUUCAAUCAACAGAAAAGGAGAUUGUGAGUCCUUCUGGAACCACCUGCCUCUAAAAGAGAUUUCAGAUGACACAGAGCAGCAGUGCUGUGGCUUCAAGCGCAGCUUUCCCCAGCAGAAAUAGCUGCUAGGACCAAAACAAAUGGAAAGGCAGAAGAUUAAGUAACAGAAAACAAAAAGAAAAAUCUAUAGAGAUGACGAGUUUUCAAGGAAGACAGAAAAGGAAAUAAGAGAGAGACAAAUCAAGAAAAAAAAAAAAAAGAUUAAGAGGUACAAGCAGGCAGUGAGAGGACUGAGGAAGCCCAGCCAGGCAGGGGACAAAAGGCUGCUGGAGCAGAGGGAUGCUCAGCAGCAGCUACAGGAGCCCCUCGGGAGCAGGGAAGCCCUGACUGCCAAAUUGGCACUAAAUGGAGAGGUGAAGAACUGGGGAGCACUGGCCAGAGGAAAACCACGAAUGCCACAAAGCAGAGGUGGUGGACAUGCAGUUCAUGGUUACAGUCACCAAGGACAGCACCCAUGACCAUCAGAAGUGUCAUCCUGGGGGAAGAAAAGCCCUUAAAUUGUCACUUUUUAACACUUCUGCCUGUUUCCUUGCCAGCCCAGCCUAAUGUCCUUUGAUGUGUGGCAGCCACUGGUUUCAGCAUGCAUUGUAAAGUAAGUGGAGGGGAAAAAACAACAAAAAACUACAGAAAAAGGAAUACUAUUUAAGGAGUUCAAAGGUUAAUCCUGCUGCAUCCCAUCUGGUCAGACUGGUUACCCCUGACACUGCCAGUGCACCUGUAAAUACACGGUGAAGGGACAGUAAGGUGACAAGUACCAGGGCUGGCUUGGAGUUCUCUAUGAAAGUGUUUACCCAACAGAAAACCCAGAUUGUGUAAGAUAAAAGAGGAGCAAGGAGUAUUUCCUAGCAAAAGAGGAAAAAUUGAGAGCAGGGUAUGGGUACUUUUAGAGUCAGGCUGAAUCAAUACAAUUUAGAAUGCUGCAGUUAAUUGAAAUAUUCCAUUUGGGGCAUUUCUGACAUUAAUUUUCAUUGGUUUCAUUGACCAAACACUCUGGGAAAUUGCAUUUCAAGUGCCUGAGGUCCACUUCUCCAGGGGCACAUCCCACCUCUCACAGGAUCACUUGGCCUCUGUUUUUUAGCAAAGCAAAACCUGGAGGAGUGGUCAAGCUAAGAAUUUGAGCCUCCAGGAGCACAAGGAGGGGAACACAGUGCUGAAAUUCCAGUUUCCAUAGGUGAGGCAUGGCUGGGGUAACACCUGACCCAGUCCUAAUGCAAGAUCCAAACCUGCCAGAUCCAAACACCAAAACACCCCUGACAUUAAAAACUGCAUUACAGCCUCCCAAGAUUUCCAGCUGAAUCCAAAUGCUGGUUUUGGCUUUUCCUCUGGACUUGAACUCCCUGCAGAGCUCCUCCCUCCCCACAGCUGGCGGCAUCUCCAUCUUCCUUCCUUGAAGGGCUCCCUCACCUCACCCAGCAGAGGCUCUGGUGGGAUGCAGUCAUGGACUAAGAGGUUUCAUCUCCUCUAGACAGCUUCCAGAGGCUGGGAAGAUGCACCUUGGAGCAGCACUGCCAAGCAACAGCCUGGAUAAAUCCAGCUUGUCGUGACAUCUCCCCCUCACAACGCUCCCUGUCCCCACACAGGGGACUCAGCAUGGUGGCAGCACAGCCAGCCCCACUCUGAGCCUCCAGAGCCAGCAGUGAAGGCUCCAGUCAAUCCCAGCAGGCAGAAACCAGGGCAAGAUGCUGGUGCCAGCCAAAUGUGACCCCUGGAUUUCUCCACUCAGCGCUGCAGAGCCUCAGGCAGCUCCCUCCAGCACUGAAGGAGGCUGCAAAGCCAAGCCCCAGCACCUGGAUGGCAACUCCCAGCCAGCUGAGGCUGCCCCAGGAUGCAGGGGAACUGUCUGAGUGCUGCCAAGGAGCAGGGCUUUCUGCACAGGGACUGCGAGAGGAGAACUCCCAGCAGAAAUCCCGUGCAAGCAGGAUGGAGACACCUGGAGAUCACACAUGUCCUCAGUGUGUACCUGGCUACCCCUGCAAGAGAAGAGGCACAAGGCCAGGCUGUGUGUUUUAUCACGUUUCUGCAUUUAGCUGCUCUCCCCACAGUGUCUCUGGAGGCUGAUCCUUGUUUUUUAGCUCUAGGAGCACACGAGGUGCCAGGCAGGCAGAAGGUAAGAGCCAGACACCACCAGUCCUUACCUCCCACCUCAGCUUUUGUUCUGGCAGGAUACUCACAAACAGCAGGCACAGGGAGGAAGAAAAAAAUACAAAAACCAACCCAGCCUUUGGCUCAGUUACCUUUACCUUCCUCCCCAUCAGUCACUUCAAAUCCUCGCAGAAAUUAAUGCACGGAUUAAUUUAGGCACAGUGUGCUCAGGCUUUAAUAAUCAGGAUUCUACCUGAAUGCCCCUUAGGGAAGCUCAUCCUCACACCAAGGGAGGUGCAGGAGCCUCUGGCACGGGCACACCCACGGCUCUGGUGAGAAAAGCUCAGAUUUGGGAUGGCUCUUGCCACCUUCCAGCUGAGAAGGGACACACAGUCUUGGAAAUCCAAGUGUUUGCUGAUAAAGCACAAAUCAACUGGCUGAACAUCUGUUCUGUGGGAAAUUCCAACAUUUCGGGGGGACUCGUUCCAAAUCACAACAAGGACAGAUAAAAUGUUGAUUUUUCUUGCAAGGCAAAUUCAGAACUUCUUCAAUAAGCAGCUUCUCAACAGAUUUCCUUUCAACUUUUCCCUUUCAUUUCAACUUGCAUAUUAUACAAUAGUAUUUAAUUGAUUUUUUUUUCCCUAAGGCGAUUUCAAAUACUAGCCAAAAGAAAAAAAAAUUUAAAAAAAAAAAUUUAAAAAACCAUUGCUGUCUGUCUUCUCCCCUCCCCAAAACACCACUGAAAAUUUUCACUGAAAUCAACAAUUUCCCAUUCAACUGCUGAUUUCAAAAAAUGCUUUGUUUGGGCAGAAUUUGCACAGCCAGCAGACUUUGACCAGGGAUCCCCACACAAAUGAGGACACUUUGGAUUUGCAGCAGGUGCCUCCUGGCUCUGCAGGAACUCUUGUGGCUGCUGUAGAACAUUUGGGACCAUCUUUAGCAAAUUUGGUGAAACCAUGGGUGGGGCAGAUUAGGCACCAACACUGGAAAAGUGGAGCUAAAAAAAAAAGUACCAGAAAAUGGAGGAACAAGGUAAUUUAGAGGGUCAGGAACAGUGACAAAAUCCAGAACACCUUCCCUGUGGGUGUGUCCUGUCUGUGCCAAGAAGCUCUUAACUGCAUUUUCACCAAACCUUGUUCAUUGAGAUUUCCCUCAAUAUUAUACAGAGAUGAAGGUUAAUUUUCUGCUUUGGAUAGUUCUGAUGAGGGAGAUGCUAGCCAAGGACAACAGGGGUGCUUGAAUUAAGUCAGAUUUGUGUUUAAGUCUCAUUUUAAGCAUCAGAACCAGCUCUAGAUACCUGCACUGGGAGCAAAAUCUGUUUUCAGUAGUUGCAGAAGUAGACAUUUUGCCUGUCAUGUCUCAGUUUGAGGAUGUCCCCAAAAUGGGGGUUUGCUGUGGCUGCAUUACGGACUCGGGAAACACCACUCAGCAUGGAAAACAUCUUGGCACUGUUUCCUGCCACUUUCCCUUGGUUCCUGCAUUGUAUUUUCCUUGGGAAGCUGCAGAGAAGAGGCUGCAGGGCGUUUUCCUCAUUCUUUGGCUCUCUCACACUUGGAGAUGGAUUGGGAAGCAGAGCCAGUCCUGCCCAUCACCCUGCUGCCAAGCAGGAAUCGUGUUGGAAAAUACAACGAGGCUUUUGCAGAGGAGAUUUUACCAUUCAGACAGUUUAGGGGAUGACCCAAAGCUCCCCACAGCCAGGUCCUGGUGUGGUUCCAGUGGCACAGCAGCUCUCAGCACUUCUUUCCUUUCCUGGGGCUCUGGCAAGCCCAGCCACAGGCGAACCCAAGUGGUGCAAGUGCUUUAGAAGCCCAACAGCUCCCGGCCACACAGGCUCUCUGAUAAAAUCAGAUUGUAAAAUAACUCUCGAGGUUUCAACAGGAGGUAGCUGAGCUCCUCAGAGUUUAGCACACGGGAGUAGCUCUUGGAGAGGAUGCUGAUGGCAGAGCAGGAGAGGGGGCCCUCGGUGCACAGGGAAGGGAUGGGAACACCCACGAGAGAGCUUCAGGAAAAGCAGCACUGGAGCUCCUCCAGCCCGUGCUGGGGCUGUCCCCGUGCGAGGCUAUUCAGCUGUCACUUCCCACUCAGGAAAGCUCUGAAUCAGCCAACGCCUUGAUCUGAAUACCUGCAGGGAUCCCCGAUCCUCCGAAACGGGAGGGAGGAUGCUGGCAACGUGCAGUUCACUGCAUGUAACCAAGCGAGGGUUUAGGAAUGUUAAUUGGCUGUUAACAGCCUCAAAAAAGAAAAAAAAAAAAAAAAAAAAAACACACCAAAUCUCUUACUAGGACUUGCUGAAGGGAAAACUGCACAGUGUCCAUGAAGAAAAAAGUGCAGAAUGCCAAAAUUUCCAAGCUCAGAAAAGAGUGGUACAACUCUUCAGACUGACCCCCCCUUCCAUAUAAGUUAAAAAACAUCUCCCCAGAGCUUCUGGUUCUCCUCUGUGUCUGCAAGAUGGAGUCUGGAGGGAUGGUGUGUGUUCAGAGCAGCCCUGCACUUCUUCCUUCCUCCAUCUGUCCAUUGCUCACUCCUUAAUGGCACAGUUAGCAAAUGCACUCAGCACUAAUUGUGCAGUUGCUGGUAACCUCCACAGCUGAAUCCGAUGCAGAUUUUCUAAGGAGCCCUGCUGACACUCUGCAGCUGGAAUCCGGCGAUACUUGAAGUUCACAACACAUGGAAUUUGGCAGGUGUUUAUAACCACAUACCUAAGGGUUUCACAAACAUUCCCACUCCUCUCCAAGACAAUCUGUCCAAUCUCCAGAGCAUCACAGCACAACGACACUCCAGGGAAAUACAGCAUUCCUGUUGGAUGUGCUGUGAACAAGGAAUUGGAAAAGCUUCUUUCCUUCCUUCCCCUCGUGACAGCGACAUGCUCCAGCCCUUGCUCCCACUGAAGUGGGUUUGGGAACCAAAAAAAUUGCUGGAAACUUCCAAAUCAGCAAGGUACCCUAGUAACUAUGCCAACAUCGGGUAGCUCCUGACUUGGCACACCGAGCCUGAUCUUCCCAGAAAU